CCCUUAGAUGUUCUGGGCCGCACGCGUGCUACACUGAGUGGAUCAGCGGGUCAGGUUGCGCGAAAGCGUUUCCUAAUCUUUAAAUCCGCUCGUGAUGGGGAUUGACGGUUGCAAUUUUCUGUCAUGAACGAGGAUUACCUUGUAAGCGCGGGUCAUCAUCCCGCGCUGAAUACGUCCCUGCCCUUUGUACACACCGCCCGUCGCUCCUACCGAUUGAGUGGUCCGGUGAGGCUUUGGGAUCUGAGCGGAAAGAGCGUUUCGCUGUUUCUGCUCGGAAAACUCAGUCGAACCUUAUCAUUUAGAGGAAGGAGAAGUCGUAACA
rnacentral:rRNA from 1 species